rnacentral:rRNA from 1 species
AGAGUUUGAUCAUGGCUCAGAUUGAACGCUGGCGGCAGGCCUAACACAUGCAAGUCGAACGGUAACAGGAAGCAGCUUGGCUGCUUUGCUGACGAGUGGCGGACGGGUGAGUAAUGUCUGGGAAACUGCCUGAUGGAGGGGGAUAACUACUGGAAACGGUGGCUAAUACCGCAUAACGUCGCAAGACCAAAGAGGGGGACCUUCGGGCCUCUUGCCAUCAGAUGUGCCCAGAUGGGAUUAGCUUGUUGGUGAGGUAACGGCUCACCAAGGCGACGAUCCCUAGCUGGUCUGAGAGGAUGACCAGCCACACUGGAACUGAGACACGGUCCAGACUCCUACGGGAGGCAGCAGUGGGGAAUAUUGCACAAUGGGCGCAAGCCUGAUGCAGCCAUGCCGCGUGUAUGAAGAAGGCCUUCGGGUUGUAAAGUACUUUCAGCGGGGAGGAAGGUGUUGUGGUUAAUAACCGCAGCAAUUGACGUUACCCGCAGAAGAAGCACCGGCUAACUCCGUGCCAGCAGCCGCGGUAAUACGGAGGGUGCAAGCGUUAAUCGGAAUUACUGGGCGUAAAGCGCACGCAGGCGGUCUGUCAAGUCGGAUGUGAAAUCCCCGGGCUCAACCUGGGAACUGCAUUCGAAACUGGCAGGCUUGAGUCUUGUAGAGGGGGGUAGAAUUCCAGGUGUAGCGGUGAAAUGCGUAGAGAUCUGGAGGAAUACCGGUGGCGAAGGCGGCCCCCUGGACAAAGACUGACGCUCAGGUGCGAAAGCGUGGGGAGCAAACAGGAUUAGAUACCCUGGUAGUCCACGCCGUAAACGAUGUCUACUUGGAGGUUGUGCCCUUGAGGCGUGGCUUCCGGAGCUAACGCGUUAAGUAGACCGCCUGGGGAGUACGGCCGCAAGGUUAAAACUCAAAUGAAUUGACGGGGGCCCGCACAAGCGGUGGAGCAUGUGGUUUAAUUCGAUGCAACGCGAAGAACCUUACCUGGUCUUGACAUCCACAGAACUUUCCAGAGAUGGAUUGGUGCCUUCGGGAACUGUGAGACAGGUGCUGCAUGGCUGUCGUCAGCUCGUGUUGUGAAAUGUUGGGUUAAGUCCCGCAACGAGCGCAACCCUUAUCCUUUGUUGCCAGCGGUCCGGCCGGGAACUCAAAGGAGACUGCCAGUGAUAAACUGGAGGAAGGUGGGGAUGACGUCAAGUCAUCAUGGCCCUUACGACCAGGGCUACACACGUGCUACAAUGGCGCAUACAAAGAGAAGCGACCUCGCGAGAGCAAGCGGACCUCAUAAAGUGCGUCGUAGUCCGGAUUGGAGUCUGCAACUCGACUCCAUGAAGUCGGAAUCGCUAGUAAUCGUGGAUCAGAAUGCCACGGUGAAUACGUUCCCGGGCCUUGUACACACCGCCCGUCACACCAUGGGAGUGGGUUGCAAAAGAAGUAGGUAGCUUAACCUUCGGGGGGGCGCUUACCACUUUGUGAUUCAUGACUGGGGUGAAGUCGUAACAAGGUAACCGUAGGGGAACCUGCGGUUG